UACGUUGAAGUCCAGCCCUAAUCUCCACAUUCAGUUUGUCUCUGGUUUCUGUCAAUAAUACACAGUGAGUGCUGCUUGUCAUUUGUGUGCUUCGAUUGUUUGCUUUACUGUUUCCUAACGUUUUAUUUUGGACUCUUGAAGGAAUUAAAUUCAAAAUAAGCUAUUCUAAUUUUAGUGACCGACGUAUUAUUAGUUAACUUUCUCUGUGCAUUUGCGUUAAUUAGUUUUGCAUGUGUGUGCAGCGGUGCGAUUAUAAUAAUUUAUUUAAAAUAAAUAAAACGCUUUAAUAAAUUAAUGUUUUUGAAUAAUAUAGACAUUAAAACCGGGCUGUAGUGUAACAUAACAAUACGCAAAUGCCAAUUGCGGGUAGAGUUUCGAUGACAAAUUCAGUUGGGGUGUGUUUGAGAGCGCGGUGGGACUAUGUUGUUUCUCAGUGCCUUAGCGAUCGGUAUGAUAAGUGGGCUGCAGAAUGUCACGACGGAGGUGCCGGCGCCGAGCAGUGACGGCAGCGCGGUGUCGAGCCCGGAGCGGGCGGUGAGCGACAUGGGUCUGGUGGAGCCCACUCGGUUGCCGGGACAGGCGACGGACCUGGUGAAUGUGAGUGUUCACGAGCGGCCCUCCAUGUGGGACAUGUACUUGAACCACUGCCCGCGCUGGCGGCCGGUGAACCACGUGUUCUUCCAAGUGGCCAAUGUGUUUUUCCUGCUGUCGUUCCUGGCGCCGCACACGCCGAGCGGGCUGGUCUGGCUGCGGGUGGCGCUGAUGCUGGGGUGCGCCUUCUCCGGCAUGUGGGCGUGGAGCAUCGAGUGCUACCUCGACGCUGUGCUGUGGAACAGUGCAUUUAUUGUGAUAAACUUCAUUUACUUCUCCAUACAAUUUUAUUUGCUGCGCCCCAUCAAGUUCCACAAGGAUAUUGAGGAGGUUUACGUGGCGUUGUUCAAGCCUCUCCGUGUGUCGAGGAGGCAGUUCCGUCGUGUGCUCAUGUGUAUGCGCAACGUUAGGCACUUGAAGUGCCAUGAACUGUAUGCGCACGAGAAGGUCACUAAAGUCGACAGCUUGUCUCUGGUGCUGUCGGGCAAACUAGUGGUGUCACAGAACCAGAGGGCGCUACACAUAGUUUUCCCUCAUCACUUCCUCGAUUCGCCAGAAUGGUUUGGCGUGUCCACAGACGAGUUCUUUCAGGUGUCGAUAAUGGCGAUGGAAGAAUCCAGGGUGCUUGUGUGGCACCGGGACAAGCUGAAGCUCUCCAUCAUGUCAGACGCCUUCCUUCAGGCCGUGUUCGACCACAUACUGGGUCGGGAUGUUGUUCAUAAACUUAUGCAGGUGAGCGAAACAAUGGCGGUGUCGAACGGACAUCUGCCGAACAGCUACGAGGAAGGCGAGGACAAGCCCAUGCUGGUCGUCAAGAAAGCGGGAGACGGGCCCGGUAUCACCGCUCUGCUUAACCGACAGCUGCAAGCGGGUCGAGAUUGCUAUGCGUGCUAGGCCGUGGGUCGUGUGCGUAACGUUGUGUUGUUGUGCGUGUCGAUGACUGCGGAGCCGCGCAGCGCCGCCUGCGCCACACCACGGACGACGAGCUUGCUCCCCGCCCCUCCAUUCAUAUACUUCACGAUUAUACUUAUUUGCUUAGGGACCCGCGUUUGUGUGGUAGAGCAAAUCUUCUCACGGGAAUAACAGAUUACUUAAUAGUUAACCUACAGUUUAACAGAGAGUGAAUAAUACACUGCUUUGCUACAACUGAUUAUUGGUUAAACUGAUAAAAUAUAAAUUGCUUUUAUAGACGAAAAAACUUUUAAUGUAUAAGAAUAAAUUCAAAAUUUAAAGUAAAGAAAGAUUCAAAAUUAAGGCAUCUUAAUUUUUCUUUGAAUGGACCAGUCUAAACUUUUUUUGGCAACUUAACUUGUUGUAGUGCUAAGUUAUGAUCAGUAUAAAGUAUUAAUCGUGAAGUGUAGAACAAUCCUUUCCCAUUAUUCCUCACUACCAUAUAAACAAAGCAUAUUCAUCAUGCCAUACAAAUUCCUACGCCCAAGUUUACCGACAAGACAACAUAACAUUUUGAAAUGGAAACAUUUUGGUUUGAUUUUGAUUAUGGACAAACUCACAUUCAUGUUUCAUAGUUGUUUUAAGACAAAAAUUACGUGUUUAUUUUGUUGGUGAACUUGGGCCUAAGUGGGAAGUGAUUGAUGAAACAUUUUUGGUCAAUUGCCUGCUUCGAUAUUUUUUAAGGUAUUUGGCAAUAUUUGUCAGGUACAGUCUCGACUCUGAAACAUAGUUCAUGGCUAAUGAGCCAUGAAAACUAUUUCCAUUGUUAGAGAGCCGUUAGAAUACGGUCAUAUCGCAGACCUUAACGCCAGUUCUAAUUUUAUUGACUUUCCAUUUUUAUUUAACAACCGCCCAGUGCUUUAAAUUAUGAAUUUCAUGAUCACUUCUCAUUUUGAUGCUAAAUAUAAAUCAGUAUUGUAUCAUUACAUCACAUUAUUUAUUAAAAUAACCACGUCUCUUCACAUACAUAUCUCAUAUUUACAUAAUAUAUCAAUUUAAGUAUUUGAUAUUAUGGUAAAGCGCGUGGUGGCUUUUUAAGAGCUUAUUUAUCAUAAAAUUAUGUAUUAAAUACAUUAUAUUUUUAUAUGAAGGGCCGAGUUUUUAAUCCUCUAUAAAAUUUUUAUUUGAAAAAAAAAAUGAAUGUCAGUGUGACACAUUUUGUGAAGUAAUUAUGUCAAACUCUUAUUUUAAUUUUACAUUUAAAAGUUUGUAGACACUUGAAAAAUCGGUCCUGAGUCAGGGUAAGUGUCCAAUAAGGUUGGGUAGAUAUUAAUAAAAUUAGCUGUAGUAUAAAUUAAUUAUUUGGCAUAAGUUUAGCUCCCUCUAAAUUAAAUGGUGGACACAUAUUCUGGCACAUAAUUAUAUGUAUUUCGUUAAUCAUUGAAGACAUCACUUCAUAACAUUAAACAUAUUUAACUUUUCAAUAAUAUAUUGCCCUAAUUAUCAUUGCUUCAUAUUAUAAAGAAGUAUUAAAAACCAUAAGUAUUUGUGUAUUCGCAUGUUGUAGUUCUGUGUCUGAGUAUUAAGUGUGUACCUAGUCUUAUAAUGCUCUCAUAUAACUUACAAAUGUAUUAUUAUGAUAUUGAUGGUGCAUGUGAUUUAAUGGUCAAGAUGAGUAAACAGUAGUUUUGCGUUCAUUUCUAUCCGAUUUUUUUAAACUAAUAGGUUAAAACCGGGUGACGGACACAGGUUUUUUUAUCCCCAAUCCCUGAACGGGCAGUUUGUUCCCUUGGGGCGCGGGUCGAACCGCGAGCUAAAAAUAUAAAACUGUCAUUAUCUGUAGAUCAAGCCACUUGAAAUAUAUUUGGAUAUUCAGCUGAAAUUAGGUAUCCCAGUGAUGUUAAAGUUCCCAGUUUACCUGUUUGCCCAUCCUGACCUUACUGUAUGCUUUAAUAAUAGUUGUUACCUUAACCCGCUAAGUAUAUUUAGUAUAUGUAAGUUAUAUUUAGUUGUGUAAGCAGUAUCACUCCCGUAGUCCCAUCCUUUGUCCGAACUCCCAAAGCAUGUUUGGAAGAUCGACUGUUGAAGCGACGGACCCGAACGCGUGGCGGCUGGGUCGGAUAGAGGAGGCGGAGCACGAGACGCCCGUGUGAGGCCGCGCCCUGCACGUCGCCGUGCGCGCGCACCACAAGCGCGCACGACGGUAGACGUGCACAUGUAUGUACUGCAGGACUGUGUGACAGGUGACGCGGCUACCCGCGCUCCAUAUAUGAAUACCCGUGACUCGAUACCAUCGGUGUGAUGCGUUCCAUUCAAUAGUCGAUUUUGUCGACUCGGAUACUUUCACUUACGAAUUAUAUCGAAUAAUUCGAUUUUAGUGAUAAGGUUACAGUUUAAGGUCAAAGAUUUCUUGGAGCCAUUGUGAACUUAAUGAAUCGAUUAUAAUGUUAGUCGAUAAAAAUACCUAGUCAGUAAAUUGAAGUGGUUGAAUAAAAUCUUUACCUCUACAUAAUCGUUUAUGCAUAAUAAUUUAAUCGACUAAUUCGACUAUUAAAUUGAACGAAUUGUGACAUGUUCAACUUUUUACAUGCCAGGGAAACAUCGUUAUUUUGAACUUAAUAUUGAAGUAUAGAACGACAAAGUUUACAACGAUGGGUCUCUGCCAUGUAAACAAUGAUUAUUUAAAGUAUAUCUUACAAAUGAUCUGAAACGAAAUAGCACAUUGAAAAAAAGACUAGAAUCAUUAUUUUGUGUAUACUAUUUAUGUAGAUAGAUUAUAACUAAAUAUUGAAUCGAUAUGACGUCGUAUUGUCCCCAAUAAAGUAAAUAAACGAGAGGUUAUAUUUAAAUAAAUGUUUUGUGUAAAUACAUUAUAAUAUGAUAUGAUGAUGAUAUUGUAUAGAGAUUGAAAAAUUGUGUGUACAAAAUAUGUAUUCUACUCGAUUCGUAGUGGCCAUGUUGUGGAAACAGAGUCUAUACUUACAGCCUUCUAAAUCUCACAGUUUUAUCAACUUUGUAGUAGUUUCCAAGCUUAAACAUAUCUAUAGGCUACUUAUCUAUUAGGCUAUAUGUAUGUAUGUACUUUACUGUAGGUGAUUUUUGUUUUAUUUAUUUUCAAUAGAGAUAUAACGUAAGAGUUUAUCUGGCAGCUGAUAUAAGUGCAGGUCACCGAUAUAUCAAGUUAACAUGUGCAAAUAAUGCAUAAUUAUCGAGUUAUUUUAUUAUUCGUAUUUUUCACAUAAAUUACCCAACAGCUGAGUAUAAACUUGCCAUUAAGUUCAGUUUCAUUAGAUUGUAAUCUUAAAAUACACCUAAAUAUGAAUGCUAUAAAACUGUGAUUUUUUCAAGGGAAUGAUACUGCAACGAUUCCUCUCAUAAUGACUUCUAUCCCUGUAAAACACCACAAGUUAUCUUUUGACGAUAUAAGCCACAUAAUAAAAAUGUACCUGAUAAUCAUUUGUUGUGAAGAAACUUGUCGAGUGGACAAUAAGAGUUUAAAGCCGCUGGAAGCGCUGCACUGACCUUAAAAUAGUUUGAUUAUAUUAUAUCAAAUAAUAAAUUAGUAUUUAGCAUAUGCAGCGAAAACAGCGGCUUUAAAACAUAACUAUCAUUGAUCUUUGUAAGUCACAAAUUAAACAAGCAGGCCUUAAAUAAUUGCAAUAGAAUGUUACCAUAGAGUUGCAAAACUGACUAAGAAUUGAUGUCAUUUUCAAUCUUAUUUCUAUAAGAAUAAGGUCGGAAAUAUUUUAAACCGGUCGUAGCGUUUAGCAGUUUUGCUCAUAAAGUGUAUCUUAAUCACGAAAUAGGGAAUGACCACAUUAAACUGAAAUAUUGACCUGAUUAUAAUAUUGUUGUACAAAUUGUUGGUGGUUAUCGAACAAUGCACACUCAAGAUGUCUGGACACAUCAAUUAGUCGUUAAUUAUUAUUUCCUAAAGCAAUAAGUACAGUUUUAGAGAUACUGAUUGGCUGUGUCUGGCAAGUUGACAUACUAAAACCCUCAGAAAAAGACACUAAGAAUUAUUUUUCUGAAUUUUUGAUUACUCACCUGAGUAAACAAAUUACUGCACGAAAAUUAGAAUUAAACAUCAUUUUUAACGAGACUUCUACAGCACAAUACCUAUUAUAAAUAAGCAAAUUUUAAUUUACUUCAGCAGUAAGUUUUUUCUCGGUUUCAUAAUGUCAACUUGCGAACGGCGAUCGUCGCUCGCAAUACCAUUGCAAUCGAAACUAAUCGCUCGUUUACUACUUUCCUUUUGUUAUCGUCACGACUGUGCAAUUUAAGUUAGGUAAUAAUUUAGCCAUUGAUAGCAACGAAAAUGUUUUAUUUUUUACUUUAUUUUAUUUCCGUGAUGUCUUCCCAAUAUAAUUUUAAUUGUUAAAUGACGAUAAAUAGGAUUUUGUUUCGACAAGAUUGCAAGUGAUCGAUCGCCUUCAGACGUAGCAAUAUAAAGGUGCCCUAUUCUUGUAAAUGCGUGUGAAAAACUUGGAUGUAAAAUGCGGCAGCAGUAUGAUUGUGUAUAGUGAUGUAUAAACAUUCCAAAAUUAUCAGUUUUGGCUAUUGGAAUUAUUGUUAAAAGUAUAUUUAAGGGUCAGAAGCACUGCCAAUGCAAUUUGAUUGCUUGUUUUGCGGUCACUGCAUUAUAUUUUGUAAUUAAGGAUCUCAUUUUGUUUUGUAUAACGAUUUUGAUUUGUCUUGAUAAAUGAGGAGCACUUUUUAAGUUUUUUCAAAUGUGGACAAACCACUUUGUAAUGUAUGUUUCAGGACAAAUGUGAUUGUUCACAUACUUGCCUUGUGUCUGUGUAAGAGCACCCGGUGUGUGUUAGUAUGCCUUAUUGAAUUGCUGUUUGUGAUGAUUGUAAAUUAUGAAUGUGUUGUAUGAUUAAUUGUAUUGAAUCAUCUUAGUACAUGUUGAGACAAAUAGAGAUUAAAGAAAUAAAGUAACAAAUUGUGUAAAAAAA